rnacentral:rRNA from 1 species
UUGGUCAGAGUUGGAGACAAACGACGUAUGACGUGUCGAAUAAACGAAUCCUUUCCACUGGCUCACUAGUACCUAUCGAGAAGUCUACGGGUGUCGGCCUUGUUCACGCGCCGCACGAUGGCGGUCAAGUUGUCCUACCUCGUGGACCACCUCGUGUACGCGCGCAGCGUGGUGAGCGGCGUGCUCGGCGCGACGCCGCAGACGCCCUUCGUGACGGCGAGGGAGCUGCGGGAGGCACUGGUGGAGCCGAAGCCGCGGAGGGACGGGGGCUUCGGGCGGACGCGGUGCCGGAAACGACGGUUCCCGACGGGCGAGACGGAGCGGCAGAAGGGAUCGAGGUCGAGGGAGGCGCGGGUGCCGGGUUGGACGGUGGUGAGGGCGCGAGGCCAAGGGAGCUCCCCCCGAUACGGCUCUUACGGGCAGCCGCCGCACCACCGCGACCCCACGUUCUACCACCCGCCGCCCUCGCUGCCCUGCGACCUGGACACGCCCGCGCAGACGCAGUAGCUGCUCUUACUCUGGUAGCAGAAGCUCUUGAAACACUCCGGCGAGGAGGGCCACUGCGUGAUGGCCAUGCUCUGGUGCCCCUAGGCGGGGCUCAUGGACGCCCUGCGCGGCUGCCACUUCUACCACGUCGCCGUCCACCUCCCGUAGGAGGAGUUGCCGCUCGUCGGCACCUUCCAGGCCAGGAGCGCGCCGCGCCGGUCCUAGGAGCAGCCGGUGCCGGACCUCGUGCUAGAGCUGCGCGACCCGUACCUGAUGGGCCGCAUGGACUUCGCCCUGUGCCG